CACUAAGAAGCUAUGAACCAGCGCUAGCCUUUUAAGCUAGAGAAAGAGGGUAGCAUACCCUCCUUAGUGA
rnacentral:tRNA from 1 species